AAAACGACCCGGGCUGAAAAAACGAUCAACACCUUCUGUAGGACAGACAGUGGACAAAGUGCUCAGCGACUGGCCAUCGUGGCCACAGCCUGAAUGAGAAGAACUCCUGCCCUGAGGCCACUGGGGGCCUGGGGUGGGCUCCUGGGGUCACAGAGACCAGGGGGCAUUGGAGAGAUGAGGAGCUGGAAUCAGACUCCGGGCCUGAAGCACAGACUGGAAUAAGUCUGUACAGACCUGCCUCCUGGGAUGCUCUCCGGAAACUGGUCCCUGGAGGCAAGGCACAAGGGAGCUUCCGCAGAAAUCGGAGAAACCAAGCACCUGGGCUGAGGAUUUCCCAAGGAGGGCAGGACAGGGGCCUCGAAUGUCAAAGUUAGACCUGGCUCUGGAUGGGGAGCAGGGGUCAGGGAGGAGGCAGCCACGGAAAUCCACAGCUCCAGGACAGCCCUGAGCUAACAUCUGCUGCCAACCCUCCUCUUUUUGCUGAGGAAGACUGGCCCUGAGCUAACAUCUGUGCCCAUCUUCCUCUACUUUAUAUGUGGGACACCUGCCACAGCAUGGCUGGCCAAGCAGUGCCAUGUCCACACCAGGGAUCCGAACAGGCGAACCCCGGGGCACCAAAGCGGAAUGUGUGAACUUAACCACUGCGCCACCAGGCCGGUCCCUGACAUGGACUUUAAAAUAGCCUCUCCUAGGGUUUUGCCUGGGAUCUUAUUCCACCGUGAAAAGGAGUGAAGCACUGAUGCCGGCUACAACGUGGGUGAAACUUGAGAAGUCAUGCCACGUGAAAGAAGCCAGUCACAAGGCUGCAUAUUGCAUGAUUCCGUUUGUAUCAAAUGUCCACAAUAGGCAAAUCACAGAUUCCUGGUUGCCUUGAGUUGUGUGGCUGGGGGGAGCCGGCGGGAUAUCUGAGGGACAGCUGAACGGGACAGGGUUUCUUUCUGAGGUGACGAAAAUCUUCCAACAUUGAUUGUGGUGAUGGUUGCACAUAUCUGUGAAUAUAGCGAACACCGUGGAAUGGUACACUUUAAAUGGACGAUCUGUAUGGUAUGUGAGUUAUAUUUCAAUAA
rnacentral:lncRNA from 1 species